rnacentral:rRNA from 1 species
CGGAAGUAAGGGGGACUUUAAAGUUUAAAAAAAGAGGAAGUGGCGACUGUUUAAUAAAAACAUAAGAUUUUGCUAAAUUGAAAGAUGACGUAUAAAAUCUGACGCCUGCCCAGUGCUGCAAGACAAACAUUUCAGGUAUUGCUUGAAAUAUAAGUUCCAGUAAACGGCGGCCGUAACCCUGACGGUCCAAAAGGUAGCAAAAUUCCUUGACGGGUAAAUUCCGUCCCGCACGAAUGGCGUAACGACUGCUUCGCUGUCUCCAGUAUUAUCCUUGUGAAUUUGAAUUAGUCGUGAAAGAUGCGACUCGAUACAGCUAGACGGAAAGACCCUAUGCACCUUUACUGCGACCUAUUUCUAAAUUUAGAUUUAAACUUUUAGAGAGUGGGGUGGUAUGAAUACUUUAUGUGACAAAACCCAUAGUAUUAGAUCUAAAUUCUUAGCGUAUAUAUUUAUAAUUUUAUAUACAAAAUGUAGGGGGGG